CUGAUAUUCCUGGCUCAACCAAAGCGUAGAAAACGAAAGCAAUUUAAGUAUGAAGCAUAUUGGACUAACGAUGCAAAAUGUAAAACCAUAGUUAGAGAUACCUGGAAUGAACCUGCCUUAUAUGAUCUUAAUGUAAUGGAGAAACUGCAGCAAGUACAGCAGCAGUUGAUAUAGUGGAGCAAAAGCAAAUUUGGCCAUGCUAAGAAGAGGAUCACCUGGCUGAAAGGUGAACUCCAGAACCUAAUGAAUAGCACACAAAUCAAUGGAGAAUCAACUCAAGCGAAAAAGUUAACUCAAGAAAUCGAUCAACUAUGGCGACAAGAGGAGAU
rnacentral:lncRNA from 1 species